AGGAUUAACGCUGGCGGCGUGCCUAACACAUGCAAGUCGAACGAGGUAGCAAUACCUAGUGGCAGACGGGUGAGUAACGCGUGGUCAACCUACCGUUGAGUGGGGGAUAACUAGCCGAAAGGUUAGCUAAUACCGCAUACGUCUCCGAGGGGCAUCCCUUGGCGAUAAAAGGAGCAAUCCGCUCGAUGACGGGACCGCGUCCCAUUAGCUAGAUGGUGGGGUAACGGCCUACCAUGGCACCGAUGGGUAGCUGGUUUGAGAGAGCGACCAGCCACACUGGGACUGAGAAACGGCCCAGACUCCUACGGGAGGCAGCAGUGAGGAAUUUUCCGCAAUGGGCGCAAGCCUGACGGAGCGACGCCGCGUGUGGGAAGAAGGCCUUCGGGUCGUAAACCACUGUCGAAGGGGACGAUAAUGACGGUACCCUUGGAGGAAGCCCCGGCUAACUACGCGCCAGUAGCCGC
rnacentral:rRNA from 1 species